rnacentral:piRNA from 1 species
UACUAACGUGGACUAGAAAAGGGGCAA